GGGUUGUGAGGUUAAGCGACUAAGCGUACACGGUGGAUGCCCUGGCAGUCAGAGGCGAUGAAGGACGUGCUAAUCUGCGAUAAGCGUCGGUAAGGUGAUAUGAACCGUUAUAACCGGCGAUUUCCGAAUGGGGAAACCCAGUGUGUUUCGACACACUAUCAUUAACUGAAUCCAUAGGUUAAUGAGGCGAACCGGGGGAACUGAAACAUCUAAGUACCCCGAGGAAAAGAAAUCAACCGAGAUUCCCCCAGUAGCGGCGAGCGAACGGGGAGGAGCCCAGAGCCUGAAUCAGUGUGUGUGUUAGUGGAAGCGUCUGGAAAGGCGCGCGAUACAGGGUGACAGCCCCGUACACAAAAAUGCACAUGCUGUGAGCUCGAUGAGUAGGGCGGGACACGUGGUAUCCUGUCUGAAUAUGGGGGGACCAUCCUCCAAGGCUAAAUACUCCUGACUGACCGAUAGUGAACCAGUACCGUGAGGGAAAGGCGAAAAGAACCCCGGCGAGGGGAGUGAAAAAGAACCUGAAACCGUGUACGUACAAGCAGUGGGAGCACGCUUCGGCGUGUGACUGCGUACCUUUUGUAUAAUGGGUCAGCGACUUAUAUUCUGUAGCAAGGUUAACCGAAUAGGGGAGCCGAAGGGAAACCGAGUCUUAACUGGGCGUUAAGUUGCAGGGUAUAGACCCGAAACCCGGUGAUCUAGCCAUGGGCAGGUUGAAGGUUGGGUAACACUAACUGGAGGACCGAACCGACUAAUGUUGAAAAAUUAGCGGAUGACUUGUGGCUGGGGGUGAAAGGCCAAUCAAACCGGGAGAUAGCUGGUUCUCCCCGAAAGCUAUUUAGGUAGCGCCUCGUGAAUUCAUCUCCGGGGGUAGAGCACUGUUUCGGCAAGGGGGUCAUCCCGACUUACCAACCCGAUGCAAACUGCGAAUACCGGAGAAUGUUAUCACGGGAGACACACGGCGGGUGCUAACGUCCGUCGUGAAGAGGGAAACAACCCAGACCGCCAGCUAAGGUCCCAAAGUCAUGGUUAAGUGGGAAACGAUGUGGGAAGGCCCAGACAGCCAGGAUGUUGGCUUAGAAGCAGCCAUCAUUUAAAGAAAGCGUAAUAGCUCACUGGUCGAGUCGGCCUGCGCGGAAGAUGUAACGGGGCUAAACCAUGCACCGAAGCUGCGGCAGCGACGCUUAUGCGUUGUUGGGUAGGGGAGCGUUCUGUAAGCCUGUGAAGGUGUGCUGUGAGGCAUGCUGGAGGUAUCAGAAGUGCGAAUGCUGACAUAAGUAACGAUAAAGCGGGUGAAAAGCCCGCUCGCCGGAAGACCAAGGGUUCCUGUCCAACGUUAAUCGGGGCAGGGUGAGUCGACCCCUAAGGCGAGGCCGAAAGGCGUAGUCGAUGGGAAACAGGUUAAUAUUCCUGUACUUGGUGUUACUGCGAAGGGGGGACGGAGAAGGCUAUGUUGGCCGGGCGACGGUUGUCCCGGUUUAAGCGUGUAGGCUGGUUUUCCAGGCAAAUCCGGAAAACCAAGGCUGAGGCGUGAUGACGAGGCACUACGGUGCUGAAGCAACAAAUGCCCUGCUUCCAGGAAAAGCCUCUAAGCAUCAGGUAACAUCAAAUCGUACCCCAAACCGACACAGGUGGUCAGGUAGAGAAUACCAAGGCGCUUGAGAGAACUCGGGUGAAGGAACUAGGCAAAAUGGUGCCGUAACUUCGGGAGAAGG
rnacentral:rRNA from 1 species